rnacentral:rRNA from 1 species
AUUGAACGCUGGCGACAGGCCUAACACAUGCAAGUCGAACGAGUGGCGGACGGGUGAGUAAUGUCUGGGAAACUGCCCGAUGGAGGGGGAUAACUACUGGAAACGGUAGCUAAUACCGCAUACCAGUGGAUGUGCCCAGAUGGGAUUAGCUAGUAGGUGGGGUAACGGCUCACCUAGGCGACGAUCCCUAGCUGGUCUGAUAGGAUGCCCAGCCACACGGGAACUGAGACACGGUCCAGACUCCUACGGGAGUCAGCAGUGGGGAAUAUUGCACAAUGGGCGCAAUCCUGAUGCAGCCAGGCCGCGUUAUUGAAGAUGGCCUUCGGGUUGUAAAGUACUUUCAUCGGGGAGGCGUUACUCGCAGAAGAAGCACCGGCUAACUCCGUGCAAGCAGCCGCGGUAAUUC